UACAGAGGUCUCGAGCGUUAGGCGGAAUCACUGGGCUUAAAGCGUGUGUAGGUGGAUCGGUAAGUACCUUGUGAAAUCCCACAGCUUAACUGUGGAACUGCUUGGUAUACUGCCAGUCUUGAGCCAGCUAGGGGCUACCGGAACAAAUGGUGGAGCGGUGAAAUGCGUAGAUAUCAUUUGGAACGCCAAUGGUGAAAACAGGUAGCUGGGAGUGUGCUGACGCUGAGACACGAAAGCCAGGGGAGCGAACGGG
rnacentral:rRNA from 1 species